AACGAACGCUGGCGGCAGGCUUAACACAUGCAAGUCGAGCGCACCCUUCGGGGUGAGCGGCGGACGGGUGAGUAACGCGUGGGAACGUGCCCUCUUCUACGGAAUAGCCUCGGGAAACUGAGAGUAAUGCCGUAUACGCCCGCAAGGGGAAAGAUUUAUCGGAGGAGGAUCGGCCCGCGUUGGAUUAGGUUGUUGGUGGGGUAACGGCCUACCAAGCCGACGAUCCAUAGCUGGUUUGAGAGGAUGAUCAGCCACACUGGGACUGAGACACGGCCCAGACUCCUACGGGAGGCAGCAGUGGGGAAUCUUGGACAAUGGGGGCAACCCUGAUCCAGCCAUGCCGCGUGAUCGAUGAAGGCCUUAGGGUUGUAAAGAUCUUUCAGCUGGGAAGAUAAUGACGGUACCAGCAGAAGAAGCCCCGGCUAACUCCGUG
rnacentral:rRNA from 1 species